rnacentral:rRNA from 1 species
AGUCGAGGGGUACAUUGGUGCUUGCACCAGAUGACGACCGGCGCACGGGUGCGUAACGCGUAUAGAACCUACCUUUUACAGGGGAGUAGCCUUUAGAAAUGAAGAUUAAUGCCCCAUAGUAUUACGACUUGGCAUCAAGUUGUAUUUAAAGAUUUAUCGGUAAAAGAUGGCUAUGCGUCCUAUUAGUUAGUUGGUAAGGUAACGGCUUACCAAGACAUCGAUAGGUAGGGGUCCUGAGAGGGAGAUCCCCCACACUGGUACUGAGACACGGACCAGACUCCUACGGGAGGCAGCAGUGAGGAAUAUUGGACAAUGGAGGCAACUCUGAUCCAGCCAUGCCGCGUGCAGGAAGACGGCCCUAUGGGUUGUAAACUGCUUUUAUACAGGAAGAAACAUCCCGACGUGUCGGGACUUGACGGUACUGUAAGAAUAAGGACCGGCUAACUCCGUGCCAGCAGCCGCGGUAAUACGGAGGGUCCGAGCGUUAUCCGGAAUCAUUGGGUUUAAAGGGUCCGCAGGCGGUCAAUUAAGUCAGAGGUGAAAUCCCAUAGCUUAACUAUGGAACUGCCUUUGAUACUGGUUGACUUGAGUCAUAUGGAAGUAGAUAGAAUGUGUAGUGUAGCGGUGAAAUGCAUAGAUAUUACACAGAAUACCGAUUGCGAAGGCAGUCUACUACGUAUGUACUGACGCUCAUGGACGAAAGCGUGGGGAGCGAACAGGAUUAGAUACCCUGGUAGUCCACGCCGUANACGAUGGAUACUAGUUGUUGGGAUUUAUCUCAGUGACUAAGCGAAAGUGAUAAGUAUCCCACCUGGGGAGUACGGUCGCAAGA